rnacentral:lncRNA from 1 species
CACCUGAUGCCUCCCCAAAAGAUAUCCACCAAGCGAUCCAUGGCCUCCGCAACUAGAUCUCAGCGGGCUCUGCAAGCUCCAACCUCGUCUCCAGUUUCUCAGGCUCCUCCUCCAGCAAUGACAGUCGGCAUGGAGCAGUUUGACUUGUUGGUUCAGCAAGUCAGGGGCCUCACUGAAGCGGUGCAGGCCAUGCAGCAGCAGCCGCAGCA